ensembl:antisense 1700095B10Rik RIKEN cDNA 1700095B10 gene
AGCAUUCUGGACCUUUUGACGGAAAAGCCAGGAUGGGGAUGGUGAAUUCUCAUAGCAUGGAGUAGUGGACAGUGGGGGUAGCGGUGUCUGGGGUUGAGAAGACCGUGGAGAGAUACACAGAAGUGUCUCCAGCUUCCAGAACAUUCUAUAUCACUAAAGGUGCUCAGGCAAUGUGUCCAUCGAAUCUGGACUUCAGCCACCCUAUGGUACCCUUUACACCAUCUACCUAAAAGAUCUGUGUGUGUUCUUGGGAAUUUGACAUAAAAAACCACUUCUAAUCCAGAGUUUAUGGUGGAGAGAGGGACCCUACAGGCAGCUCAUGGUUCCUACUCUGCUGGUUCUCUAGCAGCACCCGCGUGUCCUCCAGGUCCCAGGUGAGGUGGUGACACUUCCUCUUCAGCUGCUCUGUCCGGGCCUUCAUCUCUGAGUCCAAUCUCUCCUCGCACUGUUGAAGGCGCUUGCGUAGGAAAUCGUUCUCCAUCUGAGCACAGUCCAAACGCAUCUGCCACUCGUCUGCUGUGUGACAGAGUCGGCAGCUGCCUCCAUUCAGCAGGAGAGAAUCCACAUCAUAGUGGGAACUGGACAAAGAUGUCCCGAUCCCAUCCAACCAUGAAUGCCAAGUCCCUAGGCAGUGGCAUAACCAGUGCACUGAUGCUGCCUGCCUCUCACUGGGCAGUCACUCUGAGAGUCAGCCUCAACUUGAUCAUGUAUGUGAAAGCAUGCAGAGCCCGUAUUCCUCAUGAAGAGGUAGCUGAUGGCUAUGGGUUAGUCUACUCCAUAUGGCCCAGCUUUGCUUGUUCAUCAUCUAGGACCAGCUACACUUGAAUGUGAAGAAUCUGGGGCUCAGGGCAACUUUGAAUAGCAUGGUAUGAUUCAAAUACAGAGGGGAAAUUUAAAAACCUGGACUCCACUGUCAUCUUCAUCAAAUAGAAGAGAAUGUAACACA